CAACCUGCCCUGUACUGUGGAAUAAUCAUUGGAAACGAUGACUAAUACCGCAUGUGGUCCUCGGAAGGCAUCUUCUGAGGAAGAAAGGAUUUAUUCGGUACAGGAUGGGCCCGCAUCUGAUUAGCUAGUUGGUGAGAUAACAGCCCACUAAGGCGACGAUCAGUAGCCGACCUGAGAGGGUGAUCGGCCACAUUGGGACUGAGACACGGCCCAG
rnacentral:rRNA from 1 species